CCACCUACUCAUCUCUCUUCUCAGCCUGAUCCACUCUCUCGCCGUGCCCACAAGCCACCCGCGGCGGAGUGCCCAACCACAACCCGCCUCCUCUCCUGAGGCCGCCGGACGCCUCCUCCCUCCGCAACGCCGCCCUCCGCCGCCUUCCUUCCCUGCCGGCGCCCAGCAAAGCCACCGCCCGCUCCCAACCUUCUUGCCCCUGGGCGCAUCGCGGCCUGAGCCCAGCCUCCUGACCCUCGACCGCGUCGCCGCCUGCGCCUAGUCUCCUGGCCUCCGGCCGCCGCCUGCGUUCACCCUUCCGGCCACCGGCCGCGGUGCCCGCGCCCAACCUCUUGGAUCUGAGCUGCUGAGGUCGAGGAGUGCUGGCUGCCCAUGUUUGGAUCCCAUCGAUGCG
rnacentral:rRNA from 1 species